rnacentral:misc_RNA from 1 species
CCUCAGUUUCAGUCUCCUUUUCCAAAUCCUCCCUUGUUCGAUUCCUUUUCUUUAAAGAACCACCCAAUUGAUUCUCUAUCAAUUCAUCCAUCAAAUUCUCGUCAUAAUUCCGCAAACCUGCUUUCUUCCUCAAUGACCUCUUUGUAAUCAGCCCUUCCUGGCGUGGGGUGUCCAUAGUCCAAUGAACUACAAUACAACUUUUCAACUCAAACUCAUAAUCAUCAAGCUCAAAACAUCCUCAAGAACAGAACAAUACAAUACAUUGCCCUUCAAUAUUAAUCACUGAUCAACUCCAAGCAAAAUAGCAUCAAGUAAAUAUUUCUUAUGCAGAAAUUUCAUGAAAAAACAAUCAAGAACACAACUUGGC